rnacentral:lncRNA from 1 species
UGCACACUGAGGGAGCGGGGCCUGUUCCGGGGCCUACAGGAGCACCCCAUGGUGCUGCCCAUCUGCAGCCGUUCCGGGGAUGUCGUGGAGUACCUGCUGAAGAGCCAGUGGUUUGUGCGCUGCCAGGAAAUGGGAGACCGAGCUGCCAAGGCUGUGGAGUCGGGGGCUCUGGAGCUCUGGCCCUCCUUCCACCAGAAGAGCUGGCAACACUGGUUUGCCCACAUUGGGGACUGGUGUGUCUCCCGGCAGCUGUGGUGGGGCCAUCAGAUUCCAGCCUACCGGGUCGGCGGGGAGAAAGCAGAGAGGAGCCUGCCACUCUGGAGACACUGAAAACUGAGUGUCACACCCACCCCCUGCUUCUCAAUUUUCCCAGGAUGACAGGGAGGAAUGCUGGGUGGUUGGACGGUCAGAGGCUGAGGCCAGAGCAGCAGCAGCAAAACAGACAGGAAGACCAGAGGCAGAGCUGACCCUGGAGAGGGACCCUGAUGUCCUGGACACUUGGUUCUCUUCAGCUCUUUUCCCCUUCUCUGCCUUGGGUUGGCCCCAAGAGACGCCAGACCUUGCUCGCUUCUACCCCCUCACACUUCUGGAAACGGGCAGUGACCUCCUGACGUUCUGGGUGGGCCGCAUGGUCAUGCUGGGGACCCAGCUCACUGGACAGCUCCCCUUCAGCAAGGUGCUCCUUCACUCCAUGGUUCGGGACAGGCAGGGCCGGAAGAUGAGCAAGUCCCUGGGGAACGUGCUAGACCCGCGGGACAUCAUCAGUGGGCAGGAGCUGCAG